UCAACGGAGCCUAUUGUAUCACGGGACACGCAUGGCUACACUCUGGUCUUAGAGCGUUGGUGCGGACUUUCGCUCGGUGCUCUAUGCACCUGUUCCUCCCGCCUGCUCAAACUUCUUUCCUAUUUAUGAAGAGGGGGGCGUCCCCAUCUCCCGGAAGCAAGGAGAUGCGAGAGGACGGCGCCAGUUUAGGUGCAGCUAAAGGUAAUGGAAGCUGAUCCGGAGCCUGAGACCCAUCAGAGGCUCACGUGACGGUCUAAGGGCUACCACUGCCUACUAAGGUUCCCCGCCACCGAGGGAUCACGUGACAGAUGGCCGGCUCAGCUGUCACGUGAUGCCGCGUCGCGCGCGACUUUGCGCUGGAGAGUGCUAGUUCUGGACUGUGUGUCUUUGCCUCCGCGGCGGCUUUGGUCCCCUUCCUUUGCCGCAUGCGCAACACACGACUGCCUCCUGCGUUGUCCCGCGAGCCACACUUCCGCCAUUUCUUCCUCCCGGGUCCAGAGCUGUGUGUCCGCUUGUCUGCCCCUCUUGGGCUCUGGGGGAGAAGGUGAUUGGGGAACCGGAGGUCAGGGGUGUCGGGACAAGAGGUCUUCGCCCGCAUCUGCUGAGACUGUCGUGAUCGCCAUGCUGAGGGUUGGGGAAGAGUGCCACAGGCCAGCGGCGGUCCCAGGGAUUCUGUCUUGUGUAACGUGCUCUUGAGAGAGCUGGAGUGAGGAGCGUGCGUCCUGGUGAGUCAUGAUGCGACCACGUCACCGUCACCUUCUCUCUCCCUUGGGACUUCCUGGGAGUGAGCCGGUGUCCUAGGAGCUUAUUCUCAUCCUUAGGAGAAUCAUCGUCUCCCUCUCCUCCGCUAAGGGGUUUCGGGCCUUACACGACUUUUUUCUGGAUUUCUGACCAUUAGCCUCUACAUCCGCCGAGGCUUAACUCUAAGCUGACCUCCCACCGGUACUGGACCUGCGCCAUGGCCCUUAUGGGUAUAUAAAGUAUAACUAUAAAUUGACCUGGAUUUUUUAGAUUUUUAGCUCCCCAGUUCAAAACAUACCUUCCUUGUCCUUGAUUUCCAUCCCUACAUCAUGGUAGUAGGACUAAUCCACCAUUACAGUCCACCACUACCGUCUGUAGACAUUUAUACUGCUGGACGUGGCAUCUCCCAUCCGCUCCUCUUAUGAUAUUUGACAUAAUAUUAUCUGGCUACUGUAUCGAAACAAAUGCUUCCAAAAUCUCAAAAGUAUUUUCCUCUGGUUAUUAGGUGUACUGUUUAUUAAAACUUUUUUUUUCUUUGUACUACCUUGGUAUUACCAAACAAUUCAAACCUGAUCCUUACAAGAACAGUAUUUUUUAUUAUUACUAAGAAGACUAUUUUAAAGUGAAGUUGUCUCUGCACCAGACAUGCAACAGCGAAAUUCCUGUUUUAGCAAAUAAAGAUGAGGCUGUCUGAUCAUUUCAAAUGUCAUGAAAAAGUAAUACUUUUAAAUGCUUAAAAAUAAAACAAAUAGCUGCCUGUCUGUCUUUUAAGUUUAGCUUGUUGAAAACACUUUUAUGAACCAGUCUAGCACAUUGUGAAAUGUUUUUAUUGAAUGAAUGAAUGACUCCUCUAUGUCAGGUUUAAAGAUAAAGUAUAUGAUUUAUCUGUCCAGUGCACAUGUUGGUAGCCUUGUGUUAAUGCUCUUGGUAGGUCUGCAGUUCAAAACAAUGUUCUUUCACUCUGAACCAUGGAAUAAAGCAUUCAGUGCACUUCUUAUCACAUUAUCAGGAGUUGUUAUAAAUGGAUCUCCUGCUUUUUCUUCAUAGUUAAGCAAACUUAAUUCUAAGGAAUUACUCUCAAAACUUCUGCUACUAAAGAACAAGAGAAGUUGGUAGGGAAAUGGAAAGACAAAAGUUCUGAUGAUUUGCCCUUAAUUUCACCAAGUUAAGUCAACUUCAAGAGUCCUCUUGUCAGAAAGUCUAACAUGGAUCGGUGGGGUCUUGCUCCAUGCAUUUACUCAAGGAACCUGGCUUCUGCCUAGUGCGUCUACCACCUUCAAGGC